rnacentral:pre_miRNA from 1 species
AAUUAAAAUUUUCAUUAAUUUCUGUUGUUAAAAACUAGUGUGGUUAAAAACCAAACAAUUACACAUAGCGUGUCACAUGUAUCUCGUGUCGAUGUAUAGGGACCAGAUUUUAAUAAUAGAAAUGGAUAAUUUUUUUGACA